rnacentral:rRNA from 1 species
AUUGAACGCUGGCGGCAGGCCUAACACAUGCAAGUCGAACGAGUGGCGGACGGGUGAGUAAUGUCUGGGAAACUGCCCGAUGGAGGGGGGUAACUACUGGAAACGGUAGCUAAUACCGCAUACUAUCAGAUGAGCCUAGGUCGGAUUAGCUAGUUGGUGGGGUAAAGGCCUACCUAGGCGACGAUCCCUAGCUGGUCUGAGAGGAUGACCAGCCACACUGGAACGGAGAUACGGUCCAGACUCCUACGGGAGGCAGCAGUGGGGAAUAUUGCACAAUGGGCGCAAGCCUGAUGCAGCCAUGCCGCGUGUAUGAAGAAGGCCUUCGGGUUGUAAAGUACUUUCAGCGAGGAGGCGUUACUCGCAGAAGAAGCACCGGCUAACUCCGUGCCAGCAGCCGCGGUAAUUC